rnacentral:rRNA from 1 species
CUAAAUAACUGAGCGGAGCACACACUCUUGCAGUGGUGCCAGUUCUUUCAAGUGUCUACCUUAUCAACUUCCGACGGUAGUUUAUGUGCCUACCGUGGUUGUAACGGGUAACGGAGAAUCAGGGUUUGACUCCGGAGAGGGAGCCUGAGAAACGGCUACCACUUCUAAGGAAGGCAGCAGGCGCGCAAAUUACCCAUUCUCAGUACGAGGAGGUAGUGACGAGAAAUAGCAAGGCGGUGCCCAAUGGGUGCCGUCAUUGCAAUGAGAACAAUUUAAAUCCUUUAACGAGGAUCUAGUCGAGGGCAAGUCUGGUGCCAGCAGCCGCGGUAAUUCCAGCUCGGCUAGCAUAUAUCAAUGUUGCUGCGGUUAAAAAG